rnacentral:rRNA from 1 species
CCGGUUUGAACUCAGAUCAUGUAAAAUUUUAAAGGUCGAACAGACCUAAAAUUCUAGCUUCUACGCCAAAACUUAAUUUUAAUCCAACAUCGAGGUCGCAAACUUCUUUUUCGAUUAGAACUCUUUAAAGAAAUUACGCUGUUAUCCCUAAGGUAAUUUAAUCUUAUAAUCAUAAAAAUGGAUCAAUAAACCAUAAAUUAAUGUUUUAAUAAAAAAAAAGUUUAAUAAAUUUUUCUAUCACCCCAAUAAAAUAUAACUUUAAAAUUUAAAAAUAAAAUACCUAAAGGUUAAAUAAAAAAAUUAUAUAAAAUUCUAUAGGGUCUUCUCGUCUUUUAAAAUUAUUUAAGCUUUUUAACUUAAAGAUAAAGUUUUAAUUAAUUUAAACAGAGACAGUUAUUUUCUCGUCCAACCGUUCAUUCCAGCUUUCAAUUAAAAAACUAAUUAUUAUGCUACCUUUGUACGGUCAAAAUACCGCAGCCAUUCAAAAUUCAUUGGGCAGGUCAGACUUUAUAUUAUCAACAAAAAGACAUGUUUUUGAUAAACAGGCG